AUGCAACAACAACGUCACUGUCAAAGCCCUUGUCGGACACUGAGAUCCGUUCUCCGCCGAUACUUCCACUGUAACUCAAUCAUCAUCAUCGAAUCACUCUCUUCUCCGCCAUUCACAAACGCCGGAAACCACCAUACCACCUUGUCGUUCCACCCGUCGCCGGAAUCCGCAACCCACUUUGCUUUCAGCAAGCCUUACGCUAAUCUUUCACGUUGUCAUUGUGGGAAGAUGAAGAUAAGAUGGAGAUGCAUUGUCAUUGUGGGAAGAUGA